UAGCUCCAGAUGGAGGUGGUCCUUUAUCUUGGUGGGCUUCCAUGGAGAUGUCACAAGGGAACUUCACAGUGUUCAUAUGAAGCUGGUGAUUUUCCUUCGCAAGCCAGGCUCUCAGCAGGGGCUUGAGGCUGGUCUACUAUGAGCCUGGUAGUUGCUUCUGUUUUUUGUCUUGAGGGCUUGGGCUGUAUCUGCAGACAGAUGUCUGUGAUUUCUCUGCCUCUGUUGCCGUGGUGCCGUUCAACUCUGAGAUGCCACCCAGACCCAGGAGGUUCCCACGGGCUCACUCUGCCAGGAUGUCUGUGCCUCCUCCUCCUCAGAGUCAUCACUUCCAUUUAAAUAAUCAAAAGACGUGAUGCUGGUCCACAGUGCAGUUGAUUCUGAGCCUGUCCCACCAGCCAGGAGAGGCCACAUCAGAGCUGUCCAGGGUCCCCCCUCAGCGUGAUCUUGGUCUCCUCCACCUUCUCUCCCCAUUGGAGCAUUUCCCCUCUUAGCGCCUCAAGUUAGGGACUGUGUAGACACAGCCAUUAGGUUAGUCAGUGCAGACUCUGGUGAGCAACUGGAUAAUUAUUCCCAAAAAUAUUGACUUGU
rnacentral:lncRNA from 10 species